rnacentral:tRNA from 1 species
GUUACUGCAGUUGAAUAGAAUGGUGGAUCUUCACUUCACUGGCCCCGGUUAAAAUCCGGGCAGAAAUU